rnacentral:rRNA from 1 species
GAUGAACGCUGGCGGCGUGCCUAACACAUGCAAGUCGAACGAAGCUUGACGAAUGAUUUUUUCGGAAUGAUUCUGAUAUGACUUAGUGGCGGACGGGUGAGUAACACGUGAGCAACCUGCCUCAAACAGGGGGAGUAACGCAUCGAAAGAUGUGCUAAUACCGCGUAAGACCACAGUGCCACAUGGCACAGGGGUCAAAGAGCAAUCCGGUUUGAGAUGGGCGUCGCGUCCGAUUAGCUAGUUGGUGAGAUAACGGCCCACCGGAAGCGACGAUCGGUAGCCGACCUGAGAGGGUGAUCGGCCACAUUGGAACUGAGAUACGGCCCAG